rnacentral:piRNA from 1 species
UGGGAAGAAAGCCUUCUGCAGGGCCC